rnacentral:rRNA from 1 species
AGGGUUUGAUCAUGGCUCAGAAUGAACGUUGGCGGCGUGGAUUAGGCAUGCAAGUCGUGCGAGAAGUGUUUUUUGCUUGCAUUGAACACGGACAGCGGCGAAAGGGAGGGUAACGCGUGGUUACAUGCCCAAGGGUCCAGGAUAGCGUCGGGAAACUGGCGGUAAUACUGGAUGAUAUCUAAGGAUCAAAGGUGUGAUUCCGCCCUUGGAUUGGACCGCGUACUAUUAGCUUGUUGGUGGGGUAAUGGCCUACCAAGGCUGCGAUGGUUACCGGGUGUGAGAGCAUGGCCCGGCUCACUGGGACUGAGACACUGCCCAGACACCUACGGGUGGCUGCAGUCGAGAAUCUUCGGCAAUGGACGAAAGUCUGACCGAGCGACGCCGCGUGCGGGAUGAAGGCCCUCGGGUUGUAAACCGCUGUCAGUUUGGAGGAAAGGUCUGUGAAGAGCAGACCCUGACCGAUAUUCAGAGGAAGGACGGGCUAAGUUCGUGCCAGCCGCCGCGGUAAUAC